GCUCAGAAUCAACGCUGGCGGCGCGCCUAACACAUGCAAGUCGAACGAGAACGCGGGGCAACCAGCAAGUAACGUGGCGUACGGGUGAGUAACACGUGGAUAAUCUACCUCUUUGUGGGGAAUAACCGAGGGAACCAUUGGCUAAUACCGCAUAAGCUCGAGAGAGGAACCGCGAACGCGGCAGAGAGAGGAGUCCGCGGCCGAUUAGCUAGUUGGUAGGGUAAGAGUCUACCAAGGCAACGAUCGGUAGCCGGCCUGAGAGGGCACACGGGGACCCUGGCACUGAACCACGGGCCAGACUCCUACGGGAGGCAGCAGUGGGGAAUCUUGCACAAUGGGGGAACCACUGGUGCAGCGACGCCGCGUGAGUGAUGAAGCCAUUCGGGGUGUAACGCUCUUUCGGCAGGGAAGAUGAUGACGGUACCUGCAGAAGCAGCUGCGGCUAACUACGUGCCAGCAGCCGCGGUAAUACGUAGGCAGCAAGCGUUGUUCGGAGUUACUGGGCGUAACGGGUGUGUAGGCGGUUGUUUAAGUUUGGUGUGAACUCUCCAGGCUCAACUGGGAGGGUGCGCCGAAUACUGAAUGACUUGGAGUGCGGGAGAGGAACGUGGAAUUCCUGGUGUAGCGGUGAACUGCGUAGAUAUCAGGAGGAACACCGGUGGUGUAGACGGCUUUCUGGACCGUAACUGACGCUGAGACACGAACGCGUGGGUAGCAACCAGGAUUAGAUACCAUGGUAGUCCACGCCAUAACCGAUGCAUAUUUGGUGUGGGCA
rnacentral:rRNA from 1 species